rnacentral:piRNA from 2 species
UCAGUUGGUAGAGCGGAGGACUGU